rnacentral:misc_RNA from 1 species
UUUCCGUAGGUGAACCUGCGGAAGGAUCAUUAAUGUAACCGGACCGUUCCUUUGCCGUAAAACGCACUGGAUUGGAAAGGGAGAUAUCAUACACCCUAUGUUUUAUUUACUUUUGUUGCUUUGGUGGGCCGUCCUUUACGGCGUCGGCCUCGGCUGAUCGCGCCCGCCAGAGGACCCAAACUCUUUUAUUAGUGAUGUCUGAGUACUAUAUAAUAGUUAAAACUUUCAACAACGGAUCUCUUGGUUCUG